rnacentral:rRNA from 1 species
GUACACUCCUGCGGGAGGCAGCAGUGGGGAAUAUUGGACAAUGGGCGCAAGCCUGAUCCAGCCAUGCCGCGUGAGUGAUGAAGGCCCUAGGGUUGUAAAGCUCUUUCACCGGUGAAGAUAAUGACGGUAACCGGAGAAGAAGCCCCGGCUAACUUCGUGCCAGCCGCCGCGGUAAUACGAAGGGGGCUAGCGUUGUUCGGAUUUACUGGGCGUAAAGCGCACGUAGGCGGACUAUUAAGUCAGGGGUGAAAUCCCGGGGCUCAACCCCGGAACUGCCUUUGAUACUGGUAGUCUUGAGUUCGAGAGAGGUGAGUGGAAUUCCGAGUGUAGAGGUGAAAUUCGUAGAUAUUCGGAGGAACACCAGUGGCGAAGGCGGCUCACUGGCUCGAUACUGACGCUGAGGUGCGAAAGCGUGGGGAGCAAACAGGAUUAGAUACCCCUGUAGUCCCA